rnacentral:piRNA from 1 species
UAUAAAGGUUAGAGCUGAUGAGGUU